rnacentral:rRNA from 1 species
AUUGAACGCUGGCGGCAUGCUUUACACAUGCAAGUCGAACGGUAACAGGCCUUCGGGUGCUGACGAGUGGCGAACGGGUGAGUAAUGCAUCGGAACGUACCCAGAGGUGGGGGAUAACGCAGCGAAAGCUGUGCUAAUACCGCAUGUGAUCUGAGGAUGAAAGCGGGGGACCGAGCAGCAAUGUUUGGCCUCGCGCCUUUGGAGCGGCCGAUGUCGGAUUAGCAGGUUGGUGGGGUAAAGGCCUACCAAGGCGACGAUCCGUAGCUGGUCUGAGAGGACGACCAGCCACAUUGGGACUGAGACACGGCCCAGACUCCUACGGGAGGCAGCAGUGGGGAAUUUUGGACAAUGGGCGCAAGCCUGAUCCAGCAAUGCCGCGUGCGGGAAGAAGGCCUUCGGGUUGUAAACCGCUUUUGGCAGGAACGAAACGGUGUCCGCUAAUACCGGGCGCUAAUGACGGUACCUGCAGAAUAAGCACCGGCUAACUACGUG